UGAGCGGCGGACGGGUUAGUAACGCGUGGGAACGUACCCAGAUCUAAGGAAUAGCCACUGGAAACGGUGAGUAAUACCUUAUACGCCCUUCGGGGGAAAGAUUUAUCGGAUUUGGAUCGGCCCGCGUUAGAUUAGGUAGUUGGUGGGGUAAUGGCCUACCAAGCCUACGAUCUAUAGCUGGUUUUAGAGGAUGAUCAGCAACACUGGGACUGAGACACGGCCCAGACUCCUACGGGAGGCAGCAGUGGGGAAUCUUAGACAAUGGGCGCAAGCCUGAUCUAGCCAUGCCGCGUGAGUGAUGAAGGCCUUAGGGUCGUAAAGCUCUUUCGCCUGUGAUGAUAAUGACAGUAGCAGGUAAAGAAACCCCGGCUAACUCCGUGCCAGCAGCCGCGGUAAUACGGAGGGGGUUAGCGUUGUUCGGAAUUACUGGGCGUAAAGCGCACGUAGGCGGAUUAGAAAGUUAGGGGUGAAAUCCCGGGGCUCAACCUCGGAACUGCCUCUAAAACUCCUAGUCUAGAGUUCGAGAGAGGUGAGUGGAAUUCCAAGUGUAGAGGUGAAAUUCGUAGAUAUUUGGAGGAACACCAGUGGCGAAGGCGGCUCACUGGCUCGAUACUGACGCUGAGGUGCGAAAGUGUGGGGAGCAAACAGGAUUAGAUACCCUGGUAG
rnacentral:rRNA from 1 species